AGCAGCCGCGGUAAUUCCAGCUCCAAUAGCGUAUAUUAAAGUUGCUGCAGUUAAAAAGCUCGUAGUUGAAUUUCGGAACCAAUAUGUUGGUUGUGCCUCGGUACGUACUGGCAUUGUUGGUUUCUCUCUUCUGACGAACUAUGAUGUCAUUAAUUUGGUGUCAUGGGGAAUCAGGACUGUUACUUUGAAAAAUUAGAGUGUUUAAAGCAGGCUCACGCUUGAAUACAUUAGCAUGGAAUAAUGAAAUAGGACGUUUGAUUCUAUUUUGUUGGUUUCUAGGAUUGACGUAAUGAUUAAUAGGGAUAGUUGGGGCAUUAGUAUUCAAUUGUCAGAGGUGAAAUUCUUGGAUUUAUUGAAGACUAACUACUGCGAAAGCAUUUGCCAAGGAUGUUUUCAUUAAUCAAGAACGAAAGUUAGGGGAUCGAAGACGAUCAGAUACCGUCGUAGUCU
rnacentral:rRNA from 1 species